rnacentral:misc_RNA from 1 species
GGCCGAUGCUGCAAAGAGAGCUAUGGAAUAUUUUUCUGGAAAGAAAGAGGAAGCCAAGGAGAAGGCAUACGAGACAAAAGAAGUCGCAGAGGAAAAGAUGGGGGAAUCAGAGGAGGAUACAAGGAGGAGGAUGGAGGAUCUCAGGCUGCAGGGAGAAGGAAGGAGGGGCAGCAGAGAAGAAGCAAAAGUGACACUCGAACGUAAUAGGGGCGGUGGUGGCGCGGUGGUAGUAGGUCUGGAGGAGUCGCGGCCGGGGGCGUUGGCCUCAACUUU